rnacentral:rRNA from 1 species
CUCGAUUUUAAAGGAGCUAGUUUUAGUAUUUUUGUUAAUGUAGUAUAAUUAUGGGGAAUACAAGACUAGGGGGGAGACCCUAUUCGAUUUUAAAGGUAUCUAGUUUUUUAAGAAAUGAAUUUAAUUCAGUAUCAUUUGUUAUGUUAUUUAUUAUAUAAGGACACAUGCUUUGAUGGAAAAAUCUUAGGGGAUAAGCUCUGGGAUUAGUUUUAAAAAUAUAGUUAAUUUUAAAUUAUGUAGGAUUUUUAACGUCCAUCAUUAAUUAGUACGUUAUAGUUUAGUUUAUUUUCAUUUGAUUUAUUUUUAUUUUAAUAUCUUAUUAAAAUAGGGUGAUUAACUUUUUAUCACUUGUAAUAAUGAUUAAAUUAGUAUAUUUUUUUUUGUAUUGUUUAUAUUUAGAUGAUAUAAUCAAAUAAGGAACUCGGCAAAUAAACUCCCGCCUGUUUAUCAAAAACAUGUCUUCUUGGUUGGAUAAGAAGUCUGACCUGCCCGGUGAUAUAUAAUUUUAACGGCCGCGGUAUUUUUGACCGUGCAAAGGUAGCAUAAUCAUUAGUCUUUUAAUAGGAGGCUGGUAUGAAGGGUUUGACGAGGAGUUGACUGUCUCAUUUGAUUUUAUUUUAGAAUUUAACUUUUCAGUUAAAAGGCUGAAAUUUCAUUGGAAGACGAGAAGACCCUAUAGAGUUUGAUAAUUAAUUUUAUAAUUAUACAUAAUAUUUAAUGUAUACAUUUAAUUAUUUUGUUGGGGUGACAAAAAUAUAUAAUUAACUUUUUUAUUUAUUUAUCAUUGAUAUAUGUACUUAAGAUCCAGUCUUAUUGAUUGUUAGAAUAAGUUACCUUAGGGAUAACAGCGUAAUCUUUCUUUGGAGUUCUUAUUUACAGAAAGGCUUGCGACCUCGAUGUUGGAUUAAGAUAACAGUUAGGUGUAGCCGCUUAAUGUGUAGGUCUGUUCGACCUUUAAAUUCUUACAUGAUCUGAGUUCAAACCGGCUUAAGCCAGGUUGGUUUCUAUCUCCAAUUUUUUAUUAGUUUUUAGUACGAAAGGACCAAGACUA